UGCCUAACCCUCGCAGUUGAUCUGCGAGAUAUGGCGUAAAAAACUGUUCAGGCUAUUAAGCUCGUCGUCAGAGCACCUGAACAGUCAUAUCCCGAAAGGGAUAUGGGUAGUCCGCAAGGAUUAUC
rnacentral:sRNA from 12 species